rnacentral:rRNA from 1 species
GCCGGGCACUAAGGUAAGACAUGUAAACACCUGAUCCCAUUCCGACCUCGAUA